GCACAUACCAUAAAAUACCACAUAUACAAACAACCUCUUACAAACACAUCAGUGCUAAUCUAUAAAAAUAUAGAAGAACUAAUGCUAGAACUAGUAACAAGAACUAAUCUCUACGCACAACUGUAAAUCA
rnacentral:rRNA from 1 species